UUCGACAAUGUGCAGGCCCCAGUGUUUUGGACAAUAAAAAAAAGAUGAACGACCGCGUUAAGAACAAGCUGCUCUGCUUCCACGAACCAGAUCCACCCAAGGAUUGCACCAGCAGUAGAGGGGAACAAUCGUAAGCCCUGGGCAGACAUGGGAAAGAAUAAGGAUGUGGACAGGACGGUUGCUACAACCUACAUUGGGCAGGGAACUCUGGACAUUCCAGUCUAGGGUGUAAUAUUCAGCUUGCAUUAUGGUUGACAAGGAUGCAUCCUCAGCCAUUUACUCACAGCAGGGGAGAAAGAGAUUGGCCUGUAUCUGUUUCAGGUGUUUCAGAUUAACCUAUUUUGGCAAUUUGCUUAAUGCCUUGGCCACCUUUGAGAGACUACUUACCCAAGUCGGUCAUCUGCUUCAUAUGUGAACCUACAACUGGUGUUUCACCAUAUAUUGGUGGCUGGAUUGAAACUAUUCCUAGAGAGGUGUAACCCCUUCCAAUGUGAAGGGUGGUUCCUGCCUGGGGCACAUAAUGGGACCAGAAAGAGUGUGAGCCCAGAUAAAGUUGCUGCAAUAGUCUUGGUUGUUCCCUACUAAGACCAACUCAGUGCAGAACUUACUGGGACAUGUGUCCCUUUACCUGUGGUCUGUUGAGUUGGUGACUGUCUCUGGUUCACAACAAAGGGGGCUUUCUUAGAGUGGAUGGAACAACCAUUUGUGUAUGUGGAAAUUAGGGGGUUGAUAGUACAUUUAGACCAAUUAGAGAACAAGCUAUACUCUAUUAUAGUUAUGCACUAAGUUAGCUUUCUUUCAGCUAAAUUUAGCUGUGUAGCCCUGUUCCAUAACAAAGUGUCUCCUGUGGUGAGACCCUAUUAGAGGGGAUGUUCACCUGGCGUGGUGUACAGGAGGAAAUCUGCUGCGACCAGAAGUGAUGAGCUUGAGGAGAAAAACAUGGGUUCUUAACACCCCAAAGACAAAGAGGGGUUGGAAGAGAACCCCAAGGACAUGGGGUCAACCCCUUCUGUGCCCCAGCAUAGAAGCAGGUCCUGAUGACUGCUGAAUCAUGUGGCCUUUUUCAGCAUUUACUGGUAAAGUCAAAAUGGAUCUGGUAGGGAUGCCAGAACCCUGUCCUGGGGCUGUGUACCUCCAUAUGCCACCCCGAGGAGCAUGAGGUGAUAUUUGGUUAAGAGCAUCAUGAGUGAUUGUUUCCCCAGUGUUGAUAACUUGCUGUUCUUUGUGUGGUAGUGUUCAUGAAAAUAUUGGCACGUGUCUAAGAGCCCUUUUGAGACAGGAUGUGGGUGAAGAAACUACAGGUAGUAAGGAGGACCACAACAGCACCAGGAUGUAUGAGCCAGCAGUGGGUGCUGUCUGAUCCUUUUGUGAGCCUCAGAACUAGCACAGAACCUUUGCAAAAUAAAGUGUGAGAGCAAAUACAGUUAUUUGGCAGCUUCUUUUAACCUAGGUUAAGUGUUACAGCCGGUGCCAGGAUGCAGGACGUGAAGUGAGGCAGCAGCUUUGCCUGGCAAACAGUGCAGGAGAGAUGUCAGGGAGCAGCACGAAGAGUAUCAGGGGCCUGCAGAAGUCAGGUGCUAGAGCUCACAUCCACAUGUUGGAGGAUAGACAGCAGAGGCUUUUUUCUAAUAUUCUGUUUCUUCAGAACCUAUGUGAACGCAUGCAAGUUCUAAUAUGCUUGAUUCAUUUAAUGUUUUUGUCUCAUUUUGCCAAACAACAGGAGCAAAAUUAAAAAUAUAUGUGCAGUUUUACAACACAUAGAAAUGAAUGGCUGGGUUAAUUUAACAUUCACUGCUGUGCUGUUGUGUUCUAUUUUUUGCAUAACCUUUAUAAUUGUUGUUUAAGUGAUAUACAGAUGCUGUUAAGUCAACAAAUAUGAACAACAGAUCUGCUCCAUUUAACAUCCAUGAGGCAUUGAAGAGCAUAUAUCUGAUUUAAAGUAACUGUAAAACACCAAAAUAAAGAUACAGACUGACUUUAUUUUAA